UCUAAUGUGGCAGAAUAGUGCAAUGAAUUUAAGCUUCAUAUAUAAAGUAUUAAACUUUUAUUAGAA
rnacentral:tRNA from 1 species